rnacentral:rRNA from 1 species
UUUUUGCACGGUAUAGGUUCAUAUGCUUGUCUUAAAGAUUAAGCCAUGACAUGUCCUAGUAUAAACGAUAAUACAGUAAAACUGCAAAUGGCUCAUUAAAACAGUUACAGUUUAUUUGAUAAUAAAGUUUUACAUGGAUAACCGUGGUAAUUCUAGAGCUAAUACAUGAGCAAAUUCUCGACUUUAUUAGAAGAGAAGCAUUUAUUAGAUAAAAAAUCAGUGCAUGUUUUUAAAACAUGGAAUUUGGUGAUUUACAGUAACUAAGCAAAUCGCAUAGUGAAAACUGGCGAUAAAUCAUUCAAGUUUCUGACCUAUCAGCUUUCGACGGUAUGGUAUUGGCUUACCGUGGCAGUGACGGUUAACGGGGGAUUAGGGUUCGAUUCCGGAGAGGGAGCCUGAGAAACGGCUACCACAUCUAAGGAAGGCAGCAGGCGCGCAAAUUACCCAAUUCUAACAGCAUAAGAGAGGUAGUGACAAGAAAUAACAGUACAAGGCAGUUAAAAUGCUUUGUAAUUGGAAUGAUAGAAAUUUAAACACUUUUUAAAGUAUCAAUUGGAGGGCAAGUCUGGUGCCAGCAGCCGCGGUAAUUCCAGCUCCAAUAGCGUAUAUUAAAAUUGUUGCAGUUAAAAAGCUCGUAGUUGAAUUUCUGCUAGAAAUAACCGGACUGCUUUUAUUAAUAAAGGUGGUAUCUUGGUGUGUUUUUAGCAAUAAUGUCCUUUGAAAUGUUUUUUACUUUAUUGUAAGAAACAAUAUUCAGGAUUUUUACUUUGAGAAAAAUUAGAGUGUUUCAAGCAGGCUAACGUUUUUGAAUACUGCAGCAUGGAAUAAUAAAAAUAGGAUUUUUGGUUCUACAUUAUUGGUUUUUAAGAACUAAAUUAAUGAUUGAUAGGGGACAGUUGGGGGGCAUUUGUAUUUUAACUGUCAGAGGUGAAAUCUCUUUUUUAAAAAUUUGUG